CAUCAGACGCAAUCUGCCGCAAAAAUGUAGCGGAAACGCUUUAUUGGAUACCUUGUGCGAAACGCCAAGCUAAUACAUGAACUAAGGGGCUCGUCCCGUCAAACAGGUGAGGUUGCUUCGGCGGCCGAUCUUGGUGGGCGACCCUGCGGAUGAAUGAAAGUACAAACCAAUGCCCCGCAAGGGGCAGUACCACAAAGUAGUGCUGAAUCAAUUCAUCUUUGCGAAAGCUCGGUUCACCGGGCGCAUUUUGACGAACAACUGCCCUAUCAGCCAGUGAUGGCCGUGUAGUGGACUGCCAUGGCGUUGACGGGAGCGGGGGAUUAGGGUUCGAUUCCGGAGAGGGCGCCUGAGAAAUGGCGACCACUUCUACGGAGGGCAGCAGGCGCGCAAAUUGCCCAAUGCCAAAACAAAUGAUGAGGCAGCGAAAAGAAAUAGGUGCCCCAAACCCCUCGUGGGUUUGGGGCUUUCAAUGGGGGAUAUUUAAAACCAUCCAACAUCGAGUAACAAUUGGAGGACAAGUCUGGUGCCAGCACCCGCGGUAAUUCCAGCUCCAAGAGCAUAUAUUAACGCUGUUGCUGUUAAAGGGUUCGUAGUUGAACUGUGGCAAGCGAAGCC
rnacentral:rRNA from 1 species